CACCGCCCGUCACACCAUGGGAGUGGGGUUCACCAGAAGCCGGUUGCCUAACCUCGCAAGAGGGGGGCGCGUGACCACGGUGAGCUUCAUGACUGGGUG
rnacentral:rRNA from 1 species